AAAAAUUUAGUUAAUAUAUAACAUUAAUUUGUCAAAUUAAAAUAAUUUUUUUUAAAAAUAAUUUUUA
rnacentral:tRNA from 1 species